AAAAAAAAAAAAAAAACAGAGCUUCUACAUGGGUUAUUUCCUUUAUUGACCAUGGUUUUGAAUGGUCAUCUUUACCUACCGAGUUCAAGAGACUCAAAGUCAUCUUAACUUGAUAUACCAUUUAUCAUUUUUAGUUCAGUAAAUGUACUAAUGGAUUCAUUAAAACCUGAAAGGUAAAAACAUUAAAUAAAAUACACCUAUCAACAUAAGGAUUAAGAAUGAUGAAAAAAAGUGUGUCUAUGCCUGUCAUGUGAUAUGCCAGAGAGAGAGAGAGCAUGACAAUGCACCAAAAAAAGGAAGGGAACAGUCAAUCAUUUGACAACACAAGCCAGUGAAACAUAAACAGAAGCC
rnacentral:misc_RNA from 1 species